rnacentral:snRNA from 1 species
GUCCCUUUAGGAGCAUCCGACAAAAUUGAAACGAUAUAGAGAAGAUUAGCAUGUGGCCCCAUGCACAGCUCGAGAAAUGAUCCAAAAAAAUUUAAAAGAACAUA